UACUAUAAAGCAAAUAACCAAAACAUAAAAUUUCUUUUACAGUGACACGUGGGCCCACAUCUAUCCAAAAUGCAUUGGAAGCUGGAAACCUACAGCUUUUACCGAUUCGAGUCCAAAUGAAGGUCCUUGUCAAAGUCAGCUAACUAUGGAAUUUCCCGAGCCUGAAAUGUGAGGAAAUGAGGGCGGUGAGAUUAUAAAAUCCCAGUGAGUAAACAGAUACCAUCUAAAAUAUCUAAAGCCGAAUAAAUGGAGAUAAUUAAAAUAAGUCAUCAUACUGUAAUUUCAUUACCUUUCAGUUCAUUUCAACCAAAUAAAAUCAAUCCAUAUAAAUCGAGUAAUCAACUUGGCUUAUCAAUUUCUUAAAACUUUGGCUCGUGCCAAAACUCAUACUCGGUGAUACCUUGUGCAAGGCAUCCAACCGAGUCCGCCAAGGCUGUUAAAAUUUUGUAUACACUUAAAAUAUAUUUUAGUUUGAGAAAAAUACAAUCGUUCCUUGGCGUUGGCUGAGUUCCCCUUCACGUGGUGGUUUGGCGUGAAGUGAACCCUAAGCUUUACCCCAGGAGAUACCCUACGCGCCUCUCCGUUCGAGGUAAUAAUAUAAUGGAGUUUACCGUGCCCCUCUAAUAGGCUUGUCCACGAAACCCCCUCUGCAGUAAAUAAUUAAUAUAUAAUCCACCAAUCAAUAAAAUUCAUUCUAGCAUUACAUAGCAAUUUAUCGCAACCUAGCCUCUCAAGGCUGAAUACACAUUAUAAAUAAUUCUAACACCAAAAUCAGUUUAGUCAUUCAUGCUCAUUUAUUGUCAUAAGCCAUUCAAUUCAAAACCAUAAAUUUGCAACACAAACUGGCAGUCUCCAAUUACUCUAUUUUCAAAACCAAUAUUCGAUUUCCAGAAAAUUUAUAAAAUCAUUUUAUAAAAUCACAAUUUCUCUUAAUACAUAGCAAUUUACCAUUUAAACCCAUUUUUCAUAAAAUCACACAGUUGUAUAAAACUACUCUAGAUAAUUAAGACGAUAAUAAGUUCACUCACUGUUCUAGGAGUCGAUGUACUCCUAAUCCCAAUCUCCAAGCACAAUUUUUAUACUUUUACCAGUGUACUUUGCUCACCACCU
rnacentral:lncRNA from 1 species